UACGGAGGGAGCUAGCGUUAUUCGGAAUUACUGGGCGUAAAGCGCACGUAGGCGGCUUUGUAAGUAAGAGGUGAAAGCCCAGAGCUCAACUCUGGAAUUGCCUUUUAGACUGCAUCGCUUGAACGUCGGAGAGGUGAGUGGAAUUCCGAGUGUAGAGGUGAAAUUCGUAGAUAUUCGGAGGAACACCAGUGGCGAAGGCGGCUCACUGGUCCGGGUACUGACGCUGAGGUGCGAAAGCGUGGGGAGCAAACAGG
rnacentral:rRNA from 1 species